GGCCACUGAGGCCUCCCCGUUCGCCUCCCAGAGGCCGCCACUUUCUUCAGGGCUAUCAGAUGAAGGCAGCAACGAAAACACCACCACAAGACCAACUUCAGGCUGGAGCUGAUGAUGCCACACAGAAAAUAGACUCUACUUAGAAAUGAAACUCAACUAAAGGUAAAAGUUGUCAGGAACAUCUCCAAGAAAGCCAGAGUCAGCCUCUAAACUUUGCAUCAAGAACGCAAUGGCUUCCCUGAGGGCCCAGGGACGCGUGGCAGCUGUGAGGCAGCCCCUUCUCUGCUGUCGAGGAACUGGACACUUCUCCUGUCCCUUCCCACAAGGGGCUUCCUGGAGCUCCUGCAACCCCAGGCAUUAGUUCCGGUGCAGUUCUAGGAUCAGAUCAAUUCACUCGACAACAAGAGAAACAAAUGGAGAUUCCUACACAAAGACUUUCAAGCACAAAGAAAUCCUGCUGCCUGUAAAGCGGAGCUGCCUCAGCCCUUGAUGAACGACAGAAAAUACCACCUACUGCCAGACCUCAACGCCUCACAAAACUCUCACCCACCUACUGCUUUUAGCUCACAUUCCAGGAAUUCAGAUGAAGUGAAGUGCUCUCAUGGGGACCAGGCAUGGUUAUGCCAGUCCACUGCCCUGCAAGCCUCAAGGGAAGCCAACUGCCCUUCAGCAAGUCACACCUGCCUUGGUGGAGGCCUUGAUUGGAAGUGCCACACGCUACAUGUCCAGUCCUGAGCGGGAGAAUCGGUGUAGGGACGUUCUGGGGAUGCCAGCUGUGGCCAGAUCAGGUCCAACUACAGAAGAAUAAUGAAGACUCCACCUGAGGGCUGGAAAAACAAAACCUCAAGUGUGAGGCAGCCAACCUGUUACCUCGAGGGACUGUUCCGCAGCACAGCGGGGCCAUGGGAACAGCAGCAGACACCCCGACCUCCUCGCUACCUGUGUGUGUAUUAACACGCCGGCCUCCUCGCUACCUGUGUGUGUAUUAACACGCCGGCCUCCUCGCUCCCUGUGUGUGUAUUAACACCCCGGCCUCCUCGCUCCCUGUGUGUGUAUUAACACGCCGGCCUCCUCGCUACC
rnacentral:lncRNA from 1 species